GGAUGACACAAGGCCCCAGACAUUCUAGUGCCCUUCUUACCUCAGAAUACUGAACUUCAUAACACCUCUUACGUCUGCUUUGCCACAGCCAGAGAUCUGCUCAGGGUUCUAACGAUCAGGAUAUGGGUGACUUCGGUACCUACCACCAUGAUUUCCAAAUAUUUCUUCUGUUUCAGGGAAAAGCAGGGACAAGCACGGGCCAUGAUGAAUGAAAUUGAGGCUCAGGCAGGUUCCUGCCAUGCUCCUCAGCAGAAGCCAUUGCUCCCAUUGACACAGAAGGUGAAACUGAGGUUCACAGAAGUGGUACAGGUCUGCACAGCCACCCAACAUCAGAGCCAGAGACCACCGGUGGAGUGAGUGUCAGCAGCAGGGGCUCUCCAUGGGAGGCUGCGGCUUACAGAGUGUUAGAG
rnacentral:lncRNA from 14 species